rnacentral:rRNA from 1 species
UUAGAGUUUGAUCCUGGCUCAGGAUGACCUCUAGCGACCGGCCUAACACAUGCAAGUCGAGGGGCAGCGCGGGAGAAGCUUGCUUUUCCUGGCGGCGACCGGCGCACGGGUGCGUAACAGGUGUGCAAUCUGUCCAUAACCGGGGAAUAGCCCACCGAAAGGUGAAUUAAAGCUCCAUGUGAGUAAGAGAGGCAUCUCUUUUACUUAAAACGUAAGGGUUAUGGGUGAGCACGCUUCUGAUUAGAUAGUUGGUGAGGUAACGGCUCACCAAGUCGACGAUCAGUAGGGGUUCUGAGAGGAAGGUCCCCCACAUUGGAACUGAGACACGGUCCAAACUCCUACGGGAGGCAGCAGUGAGGAAUAUUGGUCAAUGGGCGAGAGCCUGAACCAGCCAAGUCGCGUGAAGGAUGAAGGUUCUAUGGAUUGUAAACUUCUUUUGUCUGAGGGUAAAGUGAGGGUCGUGACCCUUAUUGCAAGUAUCAGACGAAUAAGCAUCGGCUAACUCCGUGCCAGCAGCCGCGGUAAUACGGAGGAUGCGAGCGUUAUCCGGAUUUAUUGGGUUUAAAGGGUGCGUAGGCGGAGAAUUAAGUCUGUGGUGAAAGCGUGCGGCUCAACCGUAUCAAGCCAUGGAAACUGGUUUUCUUGAGUGUUGUCGUGGUUGGCGAAUAUGACCGUGAACGGUGAAAAGCUUAGAUAUGGUCAUAGAACCCCGAAUUGCGGAAGGCAGCUUUACCAGCAUACAACUGACGCUGAGGCACGAAAAGCGUGGGUAUCAAACAGGAUUAGAUACCCUGGUAGUCCACGCAGUAAACGAUGAUGACUUGUUGUCGGCGAUAGACGGUCGGCGACAAAGCGAAAGCGAUAAGUCAUCCACCUGGGGAGUACGAUCGCAAGGUUGAAACUCAAAGGAAUUGACGGGGGCCCGCACAAGCGGAGGAGCAUGUGGUUUAAUUCGAAGCAACGCGAAGAACCUUACCAGGUCUUGACAUCCCGAUGACAGGAGAGUAAUGUCUCCCUUCCUACGGGACAUCGGUGACAGGUGGUGCAUGGUUGUCGUCAGCUCGUGUCGUGAGAUGUCGGCUUAAGUGCCAUAACGAGCGCAACCCUUAUCGUUGGUUACCAUCGGGUGAUGCCGGGGACUCCAGCGACACUGCCAUCGCAAGAUGUGAGGAAGGCGGGGAUGACGUCAAAUCAGCACGGCCCUUACGUCCGGGGCUACACACGUGUUACAAUGGGGGGUACAGCAAGCAGGUCCGCGGCGACGCGGGUCGAAUCCCUAAAACCCCUCCCAGUUCGGACUGGAGUCUGCAACCCGACUCCACGAAGCUGGAUUCGCUAGUAAUCGCGCAUCAGCCAUGGCGCGGUGAAUACGUUCCCGGGCCUUGCACUCACCGCCCGUCA